CUUCAGAGACAGGAGAAGAUAGAGAGGUGAUCCUUCAGAGACAGGAGAAGAUAGAGAGGUGAUCCUUCAGACAGGAGAAGAUAGAGAGGUGAUCCUUCAGAGACAGGAGAAGAUAGAGAGGUGAUCCUUCAGAGACAGGAGAAGAUAGAGAGGUGAUCCUUCAGAGACAGGAGAAGAUAGAGAGGUGAUCCUUCAGAGACAGGAGAAGAAAGAGAGAUGAUCCUUCAGAGACAGGAGAAGAAAGAGAGGUGAUCCUUCAGAGACUGGAGAAGAUAGAGAGGUGAUCCUUCAGAGACUGGAGAAGAUAGAGAGGUGAUCCUUCAGAGACAG